CCGCGAUAGGUCAUUGUUUCUGGAAUGGGCAAUGGCUCAAACCUACAUGGCCCCAGGAUGGCACUGCGGCCGAUCAGGUUGUUGGUGAGGUAAUGGCCCACCAAGCCUGUAACCGGUACGGGCUCUGAGAGGAGGAGCCUGGAGAUGGGCACUGAGACAAGGGCCCAGGUCCUAUGGGACGCAGCAGGCGCGAAACCUUCGCAAUAGGCGAAAGCCUGACGAGGUUAUUCCGAGUGUUUCCUGCUAAAGGAAUCUUUUGCCAGCUCUAAAAAUGCUGGUGAAUAAGGGGUGGGCAAGCCUGGUGUCAGCCGCCGCGGUAAUACCAGCACCCCGAGUGGUCGGGAUGAUUAUUUGGCCUAAAGCAUCCGUAGCCGGUGCUUCAAGUCUUCCGUUAAAUCCACCUGCUCAACGGAUGGGCUGCGGGAGAUACUGUUGCACUAGGAGGCGGGAGAGGCGAGGGGUAUUCCAUGGGUAGGGGUAAAAUCCUCUGAUCCAUGGAGGACCACCAGUGGCGAAGGCGUCUCGCCAGAACGCGCUCGACGGUGAGGGAUGAAAGCUGGGGGAGCAAACCGGAUUAGAUACCCGGGUAGUCCCAGCUGUAAACGAUGUAGGCUCGGUGAUGGACUGGAUUCGAUCCAGCCCAGUGCCGCAGGGAAGCCGUUAAGCCUACCGCCUGGGGAGUACGGUCGCAAGACUGAAACUUAAAGGAAUUGGCGGGGGAGCACCACAAGGGGUGAAGCCUGCGGUUCAUUGGAUC
rnacentral:rRNA from 1 species